UGGGGAAUAUUGCACAAUGGAGGGAACUCUGAUGCAGCGACGCCGCGUGAGUGAUGAAGGAAUUCGUUUCGUAAAACUCUGUUCUAUGGGAAGAAAAGGACUGUACCAUAGGAGAAAGCUCCGGCUAAAUACGUGCCAGCAGCCGCGGUAAUACGUAUGGAGCGAGCGUUGUCCGGAAUUAUUGGGCGUAAAGGGUGCGCAGGCGGCUUUACAAGUUGGGUGUGAAAUAUUGUGGCUCAACCACAAACGUGCAUCCAAAACUGCAAAGCUUGAGUUAAGGAGAGGUAAGUGGAAUUCCUGGUGUAGCGGUGGAAUGCGUAGAUAUCAGGAGGAAUACCGGUGGCGAAGGCGACUUACUGGACUUAAACUGACGCUCAGGCACGAAAGCGUGGGGAGCAAACAGG
rnacentral:rRNA from 1 species